rnacentral:snRNA from 1 species
GGAUGGGAGGGCGAUCUGUCCGUGACACCUGUUACCCCAUUGAUCGCCAGGGUUGAUUCAAUCCUCUGGCUGGCUGGGCUGGUGUCCCCUUCCUCCCUCACUGAUCCAUGUGCAUCCCUCCUGAAGCUGUGCACUUGGCCACAGGGGAAACCUUCCCUGAAUAGAGGAGGACCGGUCUUAGGUCAAGGGUAUAUGAGUAGCUGCACUCCUCUGCUAGAACCUCCAGAAAAGUUCUCAAAAUAGUGAAGUUUUACAACUGGUCACAA